rnacentral:rRNA from 1 species
UACGAAGGGGGCUAGCGUUGUUCGGAAUUACUGGGCGUAAAGGGCGCGCAGGCGGCUCUGAUCGUCGGAUGUGAAAGGCCUGGGCUCAACCUGGGAAUGGCAUCCGAUACGGCGGGGCUGGAGUGUGGGAGAGGUUGGUGGAAUUCCCAGUGUAGAGGUGAAAUUCGUAGAUAUUGGGAAGAACACCGGUGGCGAAGGCGGCCAACUGGGCCACAACUGACGCUGAGGCGCGAAAGCGUGGGGAGCAAACAGG